rnacentral:rRNA from 1 species
UACGUAGGUGGCAAGCGUUGUCCGGAUUUACUGGGCGUAAAGGGCGUGCAGGCGGUCUGUUAAGUGCAGGGUGAAAGCUCCCGGCUCAACUGGGAGAGGUCCUUGCAUACUGGCGGACUUGAGGGGGGUAGAGGAAAGUGGAAUUCCCGGUGUAGUGGUGAUAUGCGUAGAUAUCGGGAGGAACACCGGUGGUGUAGACGGCUCUCUGGACCAUAACUGACGCUGAGACACGAAAGCGUGGGUAGCAAACAGG